rnacentral:tRNA from 1 species
CAGCAGCUUGGCGAGCAUGGCGAGUUCAGCCCUGGUGGGGCCGAGGACGAGGCCGCCGCCGCAGGACCGUUCGAGUCGCUGUUUGCUGC